CAAAAAAAGACAGUCUCAGUUCGGAUUGAAGGCUGAAAUUCGCCUUCAUGAAGCCGGAAUUGCUAGUAAUGGCAGGUCAGCAUACUGCCGUGAAUACGUUCCCGGGCCUUGUACACACCGCCCGUCACACCAUGAGAGUUGGGGAUACCCGAAGCCUGUGAGCUAACUUUUAGAGGCAGCAGUCGAAGGUAGAAUCAAUGAUUGGGGUGAAGUCGUAACAAGGUAAC
rnacentral:rRNA from 1 species